rnacentral:misc_RNA from 1 species
GCCAUCAAAAUUUUAUAAAAGGGGAACAGUGAUGUCCUUGUCACUUUAUUGAGUUCUACACUUGUUAGUGAAUGCCAUCAAAAUUUUAUAAAAGGGGAACAGUGAUGUCCUUGUCACUUUAUUGAGUUCUACACUUGUUAGUGAAUGCCAUGCAUUCAUGCAAAUAAAGGGAUGAAAUUAACCUAAUGCUUCAAGUGUUGGAAGGCAAAGAAGUAAAAUACAAGGCAAAAGUAGAAAAUUAUACACAUAGAAAAAUGGAAGAGAGAGAGAGAGAGAG